GGCCAGACUCCUACGGGAGGCAGCAGUGGGGGAUAUUGCACAAUGGGGGAAACCCUGAUGCAGCAACGCCGCGUGAGUGAGGAAGCGUUUCGGUAUGUAAAGCCCUAUCAGCGGGGAAUAGAGAAGAAGGUACCUGAAAAAGAAGCCCCGGCUAACUACGUGCCAGCAGCCGCGGUAAUACGUAGGGGGCAAGCGUUAUCCGGAUUUACUGGGUGUAAAGGGGGCGCAGACGGCAGCGCAAGCCAGGAGUGAAAGCCCGGGGCCCAACCCCGGGACUGCUCUUGGAACUGCGCGGCUGGAGUGCAGGAGGGGCAGGCGGAAUUCCUGGUGUAGCGGUGAAAUGCGUAGAUAUCAGGAGGAACACCGGUGGCGAAGGCGGCCUGCUGGACUGCGACUGACGUUGAGGCCCGAAAGCGUGGGGAGCAAACAGGAUUAGAUACCCGUGUA
rnacentral:rRNA from 1 species